AUACGUAGGUGGCGAGCGUUGUCCGGAAUUACUGGGCGUAAAGGGUGCGCAGGCGGUUGUUUAAGUCAGGUGUGAAAUUCCGGAGCUUAACUUCGGAACUGCAUUUGAAACUGGACGGCUGGAGUGCAGGAGAGGGAAGCGGAAUUCCUAGUGUAGCGGUGAAAUGCGUAGAUAUUAGGAAGAACACCAGUGGCGAAGGCGGCUUUCUGGACUGUAACUGACGCUGAGGCACGAAAGCGUGGGGAGCGAACAGGAUUAGAUACCCUGUAGUCCACGCUGUAAACGAUGAGUGCUAGGUGUAGGGGGUAUCGAAACCCUCUGUGCCGCAGUAAACGCAAUAAGCACUCCGCCUGGGGAGUACGGUCGCAAGACUAAA
rnacentral:rRNA from 1 species